CACGUAGUUGGCCGGUCCUUCUUCUGCAGGUACCGUCACUUUCGCUUCGUCCCUGCUGAAAGAGGUUUACAACCCGAAGGCCGUCAUCCCUCACGCGGCGUUGCUGGAUCAGGCUUGCGCCCAUUGUCCAAUAUUCCCCACUGCUGCCUCCCGUAGGAGUCUGGGCCGUGUCUCAGUCCCAGUGUGGCCGGUCACCCUCUCAGGCCGGCUACCCGUCGUCGCCUUGGUGAGCCGUUACCUCACCAACAAGCUGAUAGGCCGCGAGUCCAUCCUUCUCCGCCGGAGCUUUCCACUUCAGAAGAUGCCUUCCGAAGUCGUAUUCGGCAUUAGACGUCGUUUCCAACGCUUAUUCCGAUGAGAAGGGCAGGUUACUCACGUGUUACUCACCCGUUCGCCGCUCGUGUACUCCCGAAGGAGCCUUACCGCUCGACUUGCAUGUGUUAAGCACGCCGCCAGCGUUCGUCCUGAGCCAGGAUCAAACUCU
rnacentral:rRNA from 1 species